rnacentral:tRNA from 1 species
GCCGAUGUCGCGGGGCUGGCUGACCGAGGCCGGCUGUUGCCCGGCCGGCGCGCGGAUCUGGCGCUGGUCGCACCCGGGCGCUGGCCC